rnacentral:rRNA from 1 species
AUCGAACGCUGGCGGCAGGCCUAACACAUGCAAGUCGAACGAGUGGCGGACGGGUGAGUAAUGUCUGGGAAACUGCCUGAAGGAGGGGGAUAACUACUGGAAACGGUAGCUAAUCCCGCAUACCAUUGGAUGUGCCCAGAUGGGAUUAGCUAGUAGGUGGGGUAAAGGCUCACCUAGGCGACUAUCCCUAGCUGGUCUGAGAGGAUGACCAGCCACACUGGAACUGUGACACGGUCCAGACUCCUACGGGAGGCAGCAGUGGGGAAUAUUGCGCAAUGGGCGCAAGCCUGAUGCAGCCAGGCCGCGUGUAUGAAGAAGGCCUUCGGGUUGUAAAGUACUUUCAGCGGGGAGGCGUUACCCGCAGAAGAAGCACCGGCUAACUCCGUGCCAGCAGCCGCGGUAAUUC